rnacentral:rRNA from 1 species
UGCCGGCGACCGGCGACGGGUGCGUAACGCGUAUGUAACCUACCUUUGACAGGGGGAUAACAUCGAGAAAUUGGUACUAAUACCCCAUAACAUCACCGGAGGCAUCUUCGGUGGUUGAAAACUCAGGUGGUCAGAGAUGGACAUGCGUUGUAUUAGCUAGUUGGUGAGGUAACGGCUCACCAAGGCGACGAUACAUAGGGGGACUGAGAGGUCAACCCCCCACAUUGGUACUGAGACACGGACCAAACUCCUACGGGAGGCAGCAG